UUUCAGUUGAGAAGCAAUGCUGUUUCACCUCCCUGAGAGAAUUGCCUUGUUUGUGAAAUACUACAGAAAAACCUGUAUUUUCUCCAGAAAAUGAAAGGUCUUGGCCUGAGUAAAUCAAGGCAGAAAACUCACCCCCGUGAAAGCUGCAGCUCUGAGAGUGUGUGGGCAGGGCUUCAACAGAAUACCUGUGGCUGCACUUACAAAAGGCAGCCAGAAGGACCCGUCCAUUCUGGAAAGUACCUUUAGUCUGAAAGCAUUUAUUGCAGAAAAAAUAUGAGGCUUGCUGGUAGUAUUCCCAGGUGACAAAUGUGCACCCAACACCCUACAGAAAAGAAGAACCAUAAAAUAAUUAAUUAUUCCAUUGUAACUCCUGCCUGGAAAACAUCUGAAAGAAGUCACUAGAUUCAGCCCACAUUCAAGAUGAGAAAUACCAGAAGGCAGAGAACACUGAGGCUGUUUUAGAGGCUGUCAACCCCAGGGAGACAGACAGCAAAUAAGUAAGCAAAUAAAUAAAAAUGGAAGGUGAUAAUAAGUGCAAUGAAAAGAAAUGAAGCAGAGUAAAGAAUCAAGAGUAGCAGUUGAGGGGAUGCUUGGAUGUUUUCACACCACUCUGACACAUGGAUGGAAGGUUAGAAGACAACAAAGGAAUGGGCUGGGAAGGACUCCAAAAGCAGAAUCAGAGAUUAUAUCAUUCCUUGGAAAUGGAGAAAAGGAUCAAAAAAGCUGAAUAAAAGGCAAACAUGGAGGAACAGAGUUUGGAGCAAUACCCUGACUUACAUUCAGUACUGUUAAUGGCUCCAGCAUCUUGAAACAAACCAAUUUUGGAUUUUCAGUUUAAUUGUUAUUCUUGAGAAGUCGG
rnacentral:lncRNA from 10 species